rnacentral:rRNA from 1 species
AAACCAACCGGGAUUGCCUUAGUAACGGCGAGUGAAGCGGCAAAAGCUCAAAUUUGAAAUCUGGUACCUUCGGUGCCCGAGUUGUAAUUUGGAGAGGGCAACUUUGGGGCCGUUCCUUGUCUAUGUUCCCUUGGAACAGGACGUCAUAGAGGGUGAGAAUCUCCGUGUGGCGAGGAGU